rnacentral:rRNA from 1 species
GACGAACGCUGGCGGCGUGCUUAACACAUGCAAGUCGAACGAAGAGCGAUGGAAGCUUGCUUCUAUCAAUCUUAGUGGCGAACGGGUGAGUAACGCGUAAUCAACCUGCCCUUCAGAGGGGGACAACAGUUGGAAACGACUGCUAAUACCGCAUACGAUCUAAUCUCGGCAUCGAGGAUAGAUGAAAGGUGGCCUCUACAUGUAAGCUAUCACUGAAGGAGGGGAUUGCGUCUGAUUAGCUAGUUGGAGGGGUAACGGCCCACCAAGGCGAUGAUCAGUAGCCCGUCUGAGAGGAGGAACGGCCACAUUGGGACUGAGACACGGCCCAGACUCCUACGGGAGGCAGCAGUGGGGAAUCUUCCGCAAUGGACGAAAGUCUGACGGAGCAACGCCGCGUGAGUGAUGACGGCCUUCGGGUUGUAAAGCUCUGUUAAUCGGGACGAAAGGCCUUCUUGCGAAUAGUGAGAAGGAUUGACGGUACCGGAAUAGAAAGCCACGGCUAACUACGUG